rnacentral:rRNA from 1 species
UUACGGCCAUAUCACGUUGAAACACCGGUUCUCGUACGAUCACCGAAGUUAAGCAACGUCGACCCUGGUCAAUACCUAGAUGGGUGACCGUUUGGGAAUACCAGUCGCUGUAA